rnacentral:rRNA from 1 species
GGGCCCGCACAAGCGGUGGAGCAUGUGGUUUAAUUCGAAGCAACGCGAAGAACCUUACCAAGGCUUGACAUCCUUCUUGAUACUGUAGAGAUACAGUAGCCCUUCGGGGGAGAAGAGACAGGUGGUGCAUGGUUGUCGUCAGCUCGUGUCGUGAGAUGUUGGGUUAAGUCCCGCAACGAGCGCAACCCUUAUCUUUAGUAGCCAGUGCGUAGAGGCAGGCACUCUAGAGAGACUGCCGUGGAUAACACGGAGGAAGGUGGGGAUGACGUCAAAUCAUCAUGCCCCUUAUGUCUUGGGCAACACACGUGCUACAAUGGCGCAUACAAAGUGAAGCAAAGUCGUGAGGCGGAGCAAAACACAAAAGUGCGUCUCAGUUCGGAUUGUAGUCUGCAACUCGACUACAUGAAGCUGGAAUCGCUAGUAAUCGCAAAUCAGCAUGUUG